GAGGGAAUAGCUCAGUGGUAGAGUGCAUGCUCAGCAUGCACAAGGUCCUGGGUUCAAUCCCCAGCACCUCCU
rnacentral:tRNA from 1 species